rnacentral:ncRNA from 1 species
CAAAGGCAUGGUCCUGACCUUAUUAUCAGCUCUAGCCCAACUUACACAUGCAAGUCUCCGCAGUCCCGUGAAUAUGCCCUCAAUCCCCUGCCCGGGGACGAGGAGCGGGCAUCAGGCACAAACUUUAGCCCAAGACGCCUAGCCAAGCCACACCCCCAAGGGAAUUCAGCAGUGAUAGACAUUAAGCCAUAAGUGAAAACUUGACUCAGUCAGGGUUAAGAGGGCCGGUAAAACUCGUGCCAGCCACCGCGGUUAAACGAGAGGCCCUAGUUGAUAUUACCACGGCGUAAAGGGUGGUUAAGGAAGACAAAACAAUAAAGCCGAAUGGCCCUUUGGCCGUCAUACGCUUCUAGGUGUCCGAAGCCCAAUCAUACGAAAGUAGCUUUAAUAAAAUCCACCUGACCCCACGAAAGCUAAGAAACAAACUGGGAUUAGAUACCCCACUAUGCUCAGCUAUAAACCUAGACGUCCACCUACAAUUAGACGUCCGCCCGGGUACUACGAGCAUCAGCUUGAAACCCAAAGGACCUGACGGUGCCUUAGACCCCCCUAGAGGAGCCUGUUCUAGAACCGAUAACCCCCGUUAAACCUCACCACUUCUAGCCACCCCAGCCUAUAUACCGCCGUCGCCAGCUUACCCUGUGAAGGCAAUAAAAGUAAGCAAAAUGGGCACAACCCAGAACGUCAGGUCGAGGUGUAGCGUACGAAGUGGGAAGAAAUGGGCUACAUUUUCUACUUACAGAACACUACGAACAUGCAACAUGAAAUAGUGCUUGAAGGAGGAUUUAGUAGUAAAAAGGAAGCAGAGUGUCCUUUUGAACCCGGCUCUAAGGCGCGUACACACCGCCCGUCACUCUCCCCUGUCAACAUGCAAUAAAGAUUCAUAACACCAAAGCACUGACAAGGGGAGGCAAGUCGUAACAUGGUAAGUGUACCGGAAGGUGCACUUGGAUUAAACC